UCCCUCCAUCGUUCAUUUCACGCAAUUGGAAACGAAGGCAUGCAAAUUGUCAUAUGCCAUUCCAAUGACAUUUGAGGGCGCUCUAUUUGGAGUAAUUGAGAUCGGCGCAGUGCAUGACGCACCCGCAUACGUUUGGCAUGAGCGGGAGUGAGAGAGUGUUUGAGCUGGAACUGGAACUAGAGCUGAAGUGCGACAGCGACAGCGACGCCGACAGCAACAGCAACGGCGGCUUAGCGAGAUGGCGUUAGCUGAUUGAGAACAAUAGCGGCGCACCGGAAAUUAUUGCAUCUGUUGUUUUGUGCUGUUGUCGUUGUCGCUGCACAUCUCCAACUCGCCCCUGCUUCUCCUUUCCAAUUGCUGGCUACGACUACUGUCUUCUCUAUUGCACACAUGUUCGUCUCUGCCAAUCGCAUGAAUGUGUCUGGGUUUGUGUGCGAGUGUGUGUGUGUGUUUGUAUAUUACUCGCAUUUUGUUUUGCUUUUGCGCUUUGUAUUUGCUUUGCAGCUCUGCUGGCUACACUUGAAUUGUUUUCAGUCUGCCUUUUGUGCGCAGCCUUUCUGCUGAAAUUUUCAAUUGCUGGCAAAAAAAAGACGAAAUAAAAAAAAGGAAACAAGGAAAAAGAAAUAAACAGAACCCAGAGCGCACUUGAGCGACAAACAGCGACGCCUGCGCAGAGGCGUUGACAGCAGCGACGGCGACGGCAACGGCGACGGUGGCGACGACGACUUCGACAGCAACACACAAGUGCAAAGUGCAACUGUCGCCCUUUAACGUACACACAACAGAGAUAACAGUCUGCUAUGCUAAUUCCAUUGCGAAUACAGCGGAUGCUGUGAGCAGCUGUUACCGGGCUGUUGUCUGUUGUUGUUAACAGCAACAGCAACAGCGGAAGCCAUUGCGCAUGCCUUGCGAAUGCUGUGCGCCUGUUACACGCACUAGCGCAGUGUGUGUGUGCGUUGCGUGUGUGUGCGCAUGUGUGUGUGUGCGUGUGUUUGCUUGUGGCGACUACAGGUGCAUCUCUGAGCAACCGAGUGAUAAGCUCUGCAACAGAGCGUUGCGCUUGUGCAACACAACAAUGCAACUGCUCAGUUUCGGUUUCAGUUUUCAUUUCAGUUGCAGACGCGAACUUCGAACUUCAAAUAUGUGCUCAGAGCAUUGUGUGGCACACACAACAACAAAAAAAAAAAAAAGGUAAGAAGUCGAGAUACAAAACUUGCAGCAAAUAUUUCAACUCAACGCAACUUCAUUCAUGUAAUUUCGCUUUUUAUUUGUCUGCCACUGCAUGUGAAUCUUGGAACAUUUCUUCCGACUCGUUUUUUUCGUUUUUGUUGUUGUUGGAAAAUUAAAGAUAAUUAUGAUUGCCAACACAGAAGAAGAAGAAGGAAGACAAAAAGCGAACCAAAGAGACGUACUUGAAGUUGCCACACAGAGCAUAAUCAUUCAUGCAGCAGGCUGUUGUAUUUGUAUCUGUGAGAUACGCAGCUCACAAAUGAUUAUGAUAAAAAGCAGCAGCCGCAAAAAAAUAAAAAGUAAAAAAAAAAACAACUACAAGAACAUCAUCAGAACAGGUAAGAACAUCGCAUUGCCAUGUUUUUAUGUUUUGUGUUUUUAUUCUUUGUUGAUAUCCCACCAUAAGCAUAUAAAUUGAAUCGAAAAUAAACGCACAAAGAAGCGAGAGACAGGAGACUCUCCACAUGAACCGAUGAACUGGCGCUGAUAACAGCAAAAAAAAAUAAAACCAAAGCGAGGCUAAGGCCAAGACAACACACACACAGACGAACACACUCCAAUUUAGCCGGUCAAAGAAAUUAAGAAAAAUCAAACAGGUUUCUGCCACACAGCCACAAAUUUUCCCGAAGCUGCUUCAAAGACAGCCGCAUUACCACAAAGAACACAAGCAACAUUGGGGCACACACACACACACACACACACACAGACAACAGACAACACACCACAGAAAUGAAAACCUCGAAGGAAGCACGAGAAGCAGUGAAGAGCUGAGAUUUUUCCCAGCGAAGCAACCAACAACUAUGUAUGUAUAUAAUGACAACCCCCAGUACCACAAAGUGCAGCCCCUCUAGUCAACCCCUGGCAAUAACCCAACAAAAACCGCAGAUAAAUCAAAGUGCCAACAAAAUUACAACGCAAGCGCUUUACAAGCGAGCGUGCUCGGCAAUGAAAUACUCGCUAG